rnacentral:lncRNA from 1 species
GCUUUGUUUCAGAGAGUGUUGGCUGGAUAUAAACUUAAAGAAAAUUGAUAUAAAAUCUCAUAACAUAAAGUUAACUAUUUUAAGUUCAUAGUUCAUUGGCAUUGAGUAUAUUUACAAUGUCCUGCAACUACCGCACCAUCCAAUUUCAAACCGUUUUCAUCUCCCAAAGGAAAGCCCUGUACCUAUUAGGCAGUGAGUUCUUGUCCUCCCCCUGUCCCCAGCCCCUGGCAAACACCAGUCUGCUUUUUGUCUCUAUGAUUUUCCUAUUCUGGAUAUUUCAUAUAAGUGGAAUCAUGUAAUAUGUGGUCUUUCACGAGUGGCUUCUCUCACUUAGCGGAAUGUUUUUGAGGUUCAUCCACGUUACAGCAUAUAUCAGCACUUUGUUCCUUUUCAUGGCUGAACAAUAUUGCAUUGUGUGGAUACACCACAUUUUGUUUCUCCGUUCACCUGUUGAUGGACAUUUGGGUUGUUUCCACCUUUUGGCUAUUGUGAAUGGUGCUGCUAUGAUCAUGCGUGUGCAUGUCUCUGAGUCUCUAUUUUCAAUCCUUUGGGGUAUAUACCUAGGAGUGGAAUUGCUGGGUCAUAGGGUAAUUCUUUUAGGAACUGCCAAGCUGUUUUGCACGGUGCUGCACAAUGUACACUUCCCACCAGCAAUGCGUGUGUCCCAAUUUUUGCAAUCUUCAUCACCACUUGUUAUUUUCCAUUUUUUCAAUUAUUCUAGUCCUCCUAGUGGGUACGAUGUGGUAUCUCGGUGUGCUUUUGACUUGCAUUUCUCUAGUGACGGAUGGUGGGGAGCAUCUUUUCACACGCUGUUGGCUGUUUAUAUAUCUUCUGUCUGUAAACUUUUAAUGAAAGGCAUUUUGUUGUCAUCUAACUGCUUUGGGAAACAUUCUCAGGAGGUGAGAAACUCAACACACCUCCACCUUGCAAUCUUUCCCCUCUGACCUCUAAGUAGACGGAGGGCAGAGGGAGGUGGAUGCUGGGGAGACAGAAGGACUAAGUGCCAAUCGGCCCCUCUCCUUCAGUCCUGCUUGUCUCCUACCGGGCAGGCGGCUUUGGAAACCGUAUUCCGCUCUGGGCAGGACGUCCCAGCUUUUCCAAAGCUCAUACACUGUUUUUUUCUGACUCUUUGGUUGUCUGGCGUCCUUCUGAAUAAGGGUUGGCCGAGGAAAGACGGGGCACAGCUGUGCGGGUAAUGAAGUCUGGGUCCCCUGAGCCGCCCGGGAUAUUGCUUCAAUAAAGGGGCCUUCCGACGUCAGGCUGUAGCUUUAUGCUUCAUUCUCUUUCAUCUCCUCAUGGGAAACUUCAGGGCUAUUUAGCUCUUCCUGUGUCUCGAGCUAACAAUUCUAGACAAACCAUGGAUCUGUGGAGCAGGAGAUGGUGUGUUCUCAGCCUUAGAUAGGUACCAGAUAGAAAAUCAAAAGUAAACAUCCACCUUCUUCUCAAGCCAUCAGAGCGUGGCAUGCCCCUGCUUACAAACCUUCCACAGCCGUGCCUUUCACUGACGUGAAAGCCAUGAGCAUUUCUGGAGGCCGGCGUGCUGUGGCCCCUGCCCAGCUCCUCAAUAGCUUCUACUGCUCAAGGCCCCACCCUCGAAGCCCCUGUACCACCGGCCCACUUUCUAUUUGAGCCCACCUGGCUGUUCUGCCUCCGCCCCGAGGGUGAGGCUGUGGAGACUCCCGUGGCCAGCGCCGCGUCCAGCCCCUCUCAGUGAGGACUGCUUUCCUUCCCUCCUGCGAGUCUGGCUCCUCCUCAUCCUUCAGGCCCGAGCUCUUCAGAGGGGUCUUGCCUCACCCAGCUUACCAAAAAUAGCACGUCUCUCCCUUCGGUUCCUGAUAAAGAAAAAACUGUUCUGAUGGUUGUUAAGAUGAAAAGCAAGAGCUCCUGAGGGCAGAGGUUUCCCUCUUCUCAGCCCACACUCUGCGUCUGGAGCAGUGCUGGCGGCCGCGGCAGCAAGCGUGUGCCCGCCGUGGGGCUUCACCGAAAUUCAAGGAAACUCACCAAGGAAACCUGGUGGGCCCCUACUGUGGUGUGGAGUGGGCACGGACAACAGUAUUGAAGCCAGUGUAGACGAGCAGCUGUGUUUCACGUACAACAUUGCCAUUGUUCUGUUUCUAUAGCUUGAUAGUCAAGGUGUCUUUAGUUUCCAACACUGUUAGGAGCUGGACUCCAGCAAGCGUGGGUUGUAUAUUUCACAGUUGUUCUUGGUGCCACAACCGUGCAGGUGCGCCUGCGAGCCCUGCACCGGUGCCGGCCAGCACCACGUCAGCUGUGGUCUAAGGCUGCUUGUGCUUUGUUGAGAACGAGGCCACGGUUCUCAGCAGUGUUUUUGAGAUGUUGGUCCCUUGAAACGCAUCGAAAAAACCCUACGGCUGCCUACAGAAUUACUUUUGAUGUUUAGCACGUGGCUGCCAAAAAUUUCCCAACCAUCAAAACGUUUUCAGCAGUGUAGAUGUUUACAAUGUGAACUCGAUUUAUUAAACUUGUUUAUUUAACUUUUUAAGCGAUUUCUUAAACUUUCGUUUUGGUCUUCACGAUGCCAAAGACCAGGUUCAUGGAAUAUUCACUUUUUAAGUGCUGGCUACAGUGUCCUUGAGAGAAUUUGAGUGCGCAUGUUGAUCUUUAUUUUAAAAGGGAGAGUGAAGCAUUGCAGCUGACUGUGGUAAUUGUUGAGCACGUCAAAUAAAACGCAAACGUCGGUAGAGAAAUAUGAGGGAGAGAUUUCUAACACCCCCGCUCACUGUGAGUUAGGGAAGUUACUCAACUUCUGUCUCAGUAUUUUAUCUGUCAAAUGGGCCAAUUUCUGUCUGAUUACCAUGCAAGAUUUUUAUGAGGUCCCUACUAGAUAAAAUCCAGGAAGAUUCAGUGACUUGUCUGUGGUCGCAUAGCUGGGCAGUAGCAGAGGCAGCGUCUGGGCUGAGGUGUGUCCGGUGCAAACUCACGCUUGCUCACGCUGGCGUGUGUCAGUGCCCUGCACACAGGUGCUCAGGGAGAACGGGGCUGGGUUUCACUUAAUGGUUAGACUGGAAAACCAGGUGGCUUAGCCUUCCCCGAGAGAGCAGACCUGAGGCAAGGUUUAACCACAGGCGGGAAGUAGGAGGUGGUACCCUGGGGCAGACGCAGAUGGAAGAGGGCCGGUCACAUGGCACUGCACAUGCCCUUCUCCACAUGGAGCCGCUAGAAGACACUUGGUCACUGUGCUGGUGCCCCUGCUUGGCCACAAGGGACGACCUCGGAUAGGCCGCUGAGAGAAUUGUGCUUUGGGGAAGGGACAGUAGGUUUUCUGCCACUGGUCAAUGUUGGCUUCAUGGAGAUUUUCCUGUCCUUCCCUCUGGGUUGUCAUCUACCCUCUCAGCUGCCACUUGGAAGGCUGGAUCCUAUGAAGUGGAGGUGAGAGUCAGAGACUGAGCAACUGCUGGGGGCAAGGCAGAUGCCUUGGUUCUGACCAGGACGUCGGCCCCUGGGAGGAGCGGAUUGUGUAGGGAGGAGGAGGAGGUCUGGGUGGGCCAGGCCCUCGGAGUCAGAAGGCCCUGGUGUUAGCUAAAGCAGAGAAGCCAUGGGGUGGAGCCGGGGGAGGCCGAAGGAAUGGAGGAGCUGCGGGAGGCCCGUGUGAGGCUGCCUAAGGGAGGGGCCUGCCCUGCUGAGCGUCAGACACGGCCCCUCCUGAGGCUGCCUAAGGGAGGGGCCUGCCCUGCUGAGCGCCAGACACGGCCCCUCCUGAGGCUGCCAGGGAGACCCGGACCGACUGGUGAGCACAACCCUGUCCUGGCAGCAGUCUGGCGGAGCACUACGCUUUCUCCAGUCUCAAGAGCAUCAGGCCUGGAUUUUUAAGUAGCUUCAGGUGGAAAAUGUCUUCUGGGACUUUCAAGUGAUAGGAAAGGUGCCGCAGAGGUCAAAUGCAGCCCACAUGUGGCUGUUGGCAUAAUCAGAGCUGGUGACUGUUUAUAUGAUUUAUUAGAACUUUGGCCAAAAACAUACACUUUGUGAAACAGCUUUCUCACCCAGCCACUGGACUGCCAGAAGUUCCAUCUUGCACACUGAGUCAAGGCAAACGUGUUAUGUGGAGCAGUCACUGGCCAGUCUGUACUCCUCUUUCGUUUUAAAGAUCCGGCGUCUUAUGCUUCAAGCACAGUGCUGGGUGCUAGACGUGGAAGGAAGGUGUGAGGCAGCACGACGUGCGGUCCUAGGGUCUGCAAAAGGUCCUUUAGGACAGAGGCAAUAUGUGAUUGCUGGGGGAGCCCACAGCAGGAGUCAAUCAGCUAUGCGGGAAGUGCCAGACCUGGAAGGGCACUUGAGAACCCAACCCCCUUACUGCACAAAGAGAAGGUCCUUUGCCAAGUUCACGAAUCUGGACGGAGAUCGUGUAUGACCAGGCUUCGCAGCCCCCGUUCGCUGGCCCUCCUCCUGCACUGCUGGGCAGCCACUCGAAGUCCUUUCUACGGGGCCUGGUGAGGGUGCCUGUUGCUGCUACAUCCCCUGCUGGGGCCGGGGGUGCUCCUCGGAUCUUGCCUCAUGUCCCCCCACGCCUCUAUUCUUGAUUCUGUCCGACCACCUGUUUCCUUUUUCCCUCAAUGGGUUAAUCUAAUAAGGAACCCAAUUUACAACUUAUUUAGACGUGAGUAUCUGUGUACUUUGCAGAGGGGAGGGUGCACUAUUUGGUGAGCUCCAACAUGUCCUGACAGCCUGGAAGCUGGCCCUCCAGUACGCCGAGCUUUCUUUAAAGCCCGCCUUGGAAUGUCUGCACCUCAUGUUUCAGAGCGGACAGAGGCAGAACAUUUCUGCUCUUAGCCCUAUUUUUGCACAUGGGGAAGCUGAAUUAGAAGGCAUUAAGCAACUGAAAUGUCCCAAGAGUAGGGGAAUGGCUAACACAUGGCAUAUCCACAUAAUGAGAGAUGUUAAAGCCAUUCACUAAGUUGCCAGGCAACUAUUUAACGACUAUAAUGACUUAGGGAAAUGCUUAGGAUAAAAUAUUAAGUGACAAGCAGGAUGUACUGUUGUGGAAUUUCAGUAUUCAGCGUUCAUGGUUUCAUGCCUCAUGAGUAACCGCGAGGGCGCAGCACAUGUUAUAAUGCUCCUGAGGCUGUAUUUGAGUCCUGCGGCCUCAGAGUCUAUUCCACAAGGUGGAGUCACUUAGCCAGAGGGGAGCCAACAGCUGCUUGUGUCUACACAUGCCCGUGACCACAUGUCAAAACAGUUUGUUGGUUUGUACCUUGCAGAUAUUCACUGACCGACUCACAGUGAUCAAUUCCAUUUGUUUGUAAAACGUGUUCCCCAAAGACCAUCAACUUCUAGUGCUGCUGCUGGAAUAAAGAGAAAAUAGAACAGUCUAAAAAGGCAAUGCUUCUUAGAAAAUUUAACCAAAACUUCAAAAAUGUAGAACGCCAAGUUCAAUAGAUUUAGAAUUGUGAUAUGACUAAGGCUGCCAGAGAGUCUGUGUGUAAACAAGAAAAAGCACCCUGGGAACUGCUGUGAGGAGUCCAGGCGGUGCAGAAGGUGUUCAAGCAAAAAGGAGCUUUGAUUAAAGCUGAAAAAGUCAUUGGUGUGAGGUUCAGAGAUGUGCACAAAAUCAAGUCAGUCUCACAUGAAACGUGAAGGACUUGAUAGAAUCCCAGGAGUUUGUGCACAUAAUCCCGUGAAGCUUCAGGAGGCGAAAUCUUCAGCAUCGCUAGUCAACCAACCGUUCACCACAGGAGCAGGGCACGGGCCAUCCCUGCCAACGGGUUCCCCAGAGCACAAGGGGCUGCGGGUGGAGCCCGGGGAGGACGGAGGUUGAGUUUAGACCAAAACUUCUCACAUUCCAAGAAAAGCAAGUGAGAGUUCAGGGUGGCCAGGGCCAGGAUCUCCCCCAGUUUUGUGCAAUGAGACAGGCUCCAUGACUGAGGACCAACUUCUUAAGGAAGUCCAAAAUAUUAAGGGGGAAGAUUAAGACAUUUCUGACUGGUCUCUUAAGUCUAUUGUCAGAGUGCUAUUUGUGAAUUCCGGGACUGGUGAGUUGUAGUUAAUGACAAGAGUGGAUUUUCAGUGUUCAUGAGAGAUUUAUCCAUGUUUGUCUAA